rnacentral:piRNA from 1 species
CCCACAAGUUGAGGGCUCAGUCUCCAAGA